rnacentral:lncRNA from 1 species
UUUUAAUUGUAGAAUUACAAGUUCUUAUUGGCACUGGAUGGGCAGACCAAUACACUUGUCUUCUUGGAAUGAACUUUUUAUUAUAACGAGGAGCGCUUUUAAGAAAUGAGAAAGCUCAAAGGAGCAAACAUGAACAGAUGGGAGUUUAUUCCAGAAUACUUAAGUGAAUAUAAGACAGUUAGAAACAUAGCCAAUAAGAAGGAAAUGAAAUGUGCAUAUAGGAGACCACCCACCAUCUUCAAUGCACUAAAAAAUGAGAAAGAUCAAAGGAGAAAACAUGAACAGACGGGUUUACCAGAUACCAUUAUACAACUAUGAUGAAGGAACAGAAGAGCUUUAUGUGAUUACCACC